rnacentral:rRNA from 1 species
AAUGAACGCUGGCGGCGUGCCUAACACAUGCAAGUCGAGCGGCAGCGAGGGGUGCUUGCACCCUGUCGGCGAGCGGCGGACGGCUGAGUAACGCGUGGGAACGUACCCAAAAGUUAGGGAUAACUGCCGGAAAGGGUAGCUAAUUCCUACUACUAACGUCGUAUGAGAGGAUUUAUCCGCUUUGGGAGCGGCGCGCGUCGGAUUAGGUGGUUGGUGAGGUAAUGAGUCACCAAGCCGACGAUCCGUAGCUGGUCUGAGAGGAUGACCAGCCAGACUGGAACUGGGCCACGGUCCAGACUCCUAGGGGAGGCAGCAGUGAGGAAUCUUCCACAAUGGGCGAAAGCCUGAUGGAGCACCGCCGCGUGAAGGACGAAGGCCUUAGGGUUGUAAACUGCUUUUAUAAGUGAGGAAUAUGACGGUAACUUAUGAAUAAGGAUCGGCUAACUACGUG